CAGCAUUUCUCAGGAGGGAAGAGUUGGGGAGGCUCUGGCAGCUUGGGAAACGUUUUAACUUUAAAGUCACCGGUUUGCAGGAAUACAUAAAGUGGAAUAGCAGAUUGGGACACGAGUGGAUGGAAAGCGAACACCUUUCUUUACUGUAGGGUUGCUGAAAUUCUACUGUAACCUUCUAUAGUAAAGACUCACUAAAUCAGUUUGAAGAUGGCAUCAGAAGAAGAGUAUGAAGAAGAGAUUGCGGAGGAG